AACGAACGCUGGCGGCAGGCUUAACACAUGCAAGUCGAACGCAUCCUUCGGGGUGAGUGGCAGACGGGUGAGUAACGCGUGGGAACGUGCCCUUCAGUUCGGGAUAACCCAGGGAAACUUGGGCUAAUACCGGAUACGUGCGAGAGCAGAAAGAUUUAUCGCUGAAGGAUCGGCCCGCGUCUGAUUAGCAGGUUGGUGGGUUAAUGGCCCACCAAGGCGACGAUCAGUAGCUGGUCUGAGAGGAUGAUCAGCCACAUUGGGACUGAGACACGGCCCAAACUCCUACGGGAGGCAGCAGUGGGGAAUAUUGGACAAUGGGCGCAAGCCUGAUCCAGCCAUGCCGCGUGAGUGAUGAAGGCCUUAGGGUUGUAAAGCUCUUUCGUCCGGGACGAUAAUGACGGUACCGGAAGAAGAAGCCCCGGCUAACUUCGUGCCAGCCGCCGCCGUAA
rnacentral:rRNA from 1 species